GCGACCUCGCCUUUUCACCCUGUCAGGACGUUCCCGAGUCUCCACUUGUGCGGACCUUGCUGAUGAGCCGCUAGUGGACUUUGUCUCGGAGACGGAGGUUGGGGGUGAGGUGACUGCUCAGUGCCAAGGCGCUGGUUGAGGUAUAGGAACAAAGGAAAUCCCAGGCGCUGCGGAUACAGUAGAUCAGAAGCUUCCUGUGGGCACCUGAGGGCAGAUUUCUACAUGGGAUUGUGACGACAGUUGGGUGUUUUUGACCGGAAUUUAAGAAUUCCUCGCUGGUGUUUUCAGCCGGCAGGGCUCAUGCAUCUGAAUUUCUAGUACAUCUCUGAAGAUGUGAUUCUCCAUGAUGGCUUCAACGCCUUGGUCAAUCUCCUCAUCAUUGAAAACAAGACCCGCCACACCCGCAAAGACAUGGAGGACCCUUGAAGGCAAAUCAGUAAGUAAAAGAUGGCAACCUGAGUAGACUACAUGCUUCCAGCUCUAUGACAUCCUGGCAGAGGUAUAUCAGAGAUGGGCUAAGGGUCAGUUGUUGCCAGUAACUGAGAAAAGGUGAAUACAGUGCACAAAGGAACUGAGGGAUGAAAAGAAUUGAUACGGUAACUAUACGUCAUUAUGUAUUUGUGUACAGAAUACAGAUCUGUAGGGCUGUCCCUGAGUGUGCAAGGAAUUAAAGCACAGCACCAUGAAACUUUCAGCAGCCACUGCAACACUGUUAGUUAUCUGCUUCUUACAUCAGAAUAAACCAAAGGGACUAGAAGGGAGAAGAAUAUGUAUGCUUCUUUCCCAGUCAACGAAAAGUAGAGAGCUCAAUCGUUGAGUUGUCAGUGACAGCGUGAAAAUACCUUGACAGUGUCCAUUCUCUUUAGAGUGUUCAGUAAACAUCGUUCAUGGGAAUAUAUGUGUCUAUCCUAAGUCAUGGCAUGGAAUAAUGCUCCUUAAGCACUAAAUACAGCACCUUGUAAAAAGCCAUUAGUGAAUUAUUCAUUCAGAAUUCAU